CGCGUAGGCGGAUUGUACAGUCAGAUGUGAAAUUCCCGGGCUCAACCUGGGGGCUGCAUUUGAUACGUAUGAUCUUGAGUGAGGAAGAGGGUCGUGGAAUUCCCAGUGUAGAGGUGAAAUUCGUAGAUAUUGGGAAGAACACCGGUGGCGAAGGCGGCGACCUGGUCCGAUACUGACGCUGAGGCGCGAAAGCGUGGGGAGCAAACA
rnacentral:rRNA from 1 species